rnacentral:rRNA from 1 species
ACGGGUGAGUAAUGUCUGGGGAUCUGCCCGAUAGAGGGGGAUAACCACUGGAAACGGUGGCUAAUACCGCAUAACGUCGCAAGACCAAAGAGGGGGACCUUCGGGCCUCUCACUAUCGGAUGAACCCAGAUGGGAUUAGCUAGUAGGCGGGGUAAUGGCCCACCUAGGCGACGAUCCCUAGCUGGUCUGAGAGGAUGACCAGCCACACUGGAACUGAGACACGGUCCAGACUCCUACGGGAGGCAGCAGUGGGGAAUAUUGCACAAUGGGCGCAAGCCUGAUGCAGCCAUGCCGCGUGUAUGAAGAAGGCCUUCGGGUUGUAAAGUACUUUCAGCGGGAGGAAGGCGGCGCGGUUAAUAACCGCGCCGAUUGACGUUACCCGCAGAAGAAGCACCGGCUAACUCCGUGCCAGCAGCCGCGGUAAUACGGAGGGUGCAAGCGUUAAUCGGAAUUACUGGGCGUAAAGCGCACGCAGGCGGUCUGUUAAGUCAGAUGUGAAAUCCCCGGGCUUAACCUGGGAACUGCAUUUGAAACUGGCAGGCUUGAGUCUUGUAGAGGGGGGUAGAAUUCCAGGUGUAGCGGUG